CUGGUUGAUCCUGCCUGAACUGAUGUGCUUAUCUCAAAGAUUAAGCCAUGCAUGUCUAAGUAUAAACGAUUGAAUCGUGAAACCGCGAAUGGCUCAUUAUAACAGCUAUAAUUUACUUGAUCUUGACAAUCCUACAUGGAUAACUGUGGUAAUUCUAGAGCUAAUACAUGCAGCAAAGUUCUGACCUCACGGGAAGAAUGCAUUUAUUAGAACAAAACCAAGCGGCCAUUGGUCGUUUUUUGUUGACUCAGAAUAACUAAGCUGAUCGCACGGUCUUGCACCGGCGACGUGUCUUUCGAGUAUCUGCCUUAUCAACUUUCGACGGUAGUGUAUCUGACUACCGUGGUGGUGACGGGUAACGGAGGAUAAGGGUUUGACUCCGGAGAAGGGGCCUGAGAAAUGGCCACUACGUCUAAGGAUGGCAGCAGGCGCGAAAAUUACCCACUCUCGGAACGAGGAGGUAGUGACGAAAAAUAACGAGACUGUUCUCUACGAGGCCGGUCAUCGGAAUGGGUACAAUUUAAACCCUUUAACGAGUAUCUAUGAGAGGGCAAGUCUGGU
rnacentral:rRNA from 1 species